AUAUCAGUCAGCGGAGGAAAAGAAAGCAACUGCGAUUACCCUAGUAACGGCGAGUGAAGCGGUAAUAGCCCAGAUUUGAAAUCGAGGCACUUUUAUGUCUCGAGUUGUAAUCUGCAGAGGAAGCGUCUAGCGCGACGCCGGCCUAGUACCCUGGAAUGGGUCGCCAUAGAGGGUGACAGCCCCGUGCGGUUGGCCGUCGUGCUAAUGUGUCGCUCCUUCGAGGAGUCGCGUAGUUUGGGAAUUCUGCGCAAAGUGGGAGGUAUGCUCCUCCUAAGGCUAAAUAUUGGCCAGAGACCGAUAGCGCACAAGUAGAGUGAUCGAAAGAUGAAAAGCACCUUGAAAAUGGGGUUAAAUAGUACGUGAAAUUGCCAAAAGGGAAGCGCUCGUGGCUAGACUUGCGCGGGGCAGAUCAGCCUGCUAUAUUGUAGGUGUAUUCUUUCUCGUGCAGGCCAGUGUCGGUUGGUACUGGUGCGGAAAGGUAGCGUGAAUGUGGCUCCUUUAGGAGUGUUAUAGCACGUUACAUAAUUCGCUGGUGCCGUCCGAGGACCGCGCUUUUUGCAAGGACACUGGCAUAAUGGCCACUAGCGG
rnacentral:rRNA from 1 species